UUAAUUUUUGAAAAUGAAAAAAAAAAGAGAAAGACUAAAAUAAAUUGAGAUUGGACGAAAUAUUUUUCGAAAUGGCGGAAAGGCGCUUUAUUUGUUAUUUCUACGGAAAAUCGAGAUAAAAACUUGAAUUGAAACAUCUUAAUAUUAAGUAAAAAUCAAACGAGAUUUCGAAAGUAGUGGAGAGCGAAAUUGGAGUAGUAUAAAAGGGUGAUUAGAGAUCUAGACUAAACGUUAGUUUAUAUUAAUAGUGAGAGUACUGUAAAGGAAAGUUGAGAGAGAGUUGAAAAGAUCCAGAAUCUUUUUUUUUAAGCAGUUUUAAAAUAACGUACCUUUUGUAUAAUGGGUAAAAGAGAUUAAUUUGGUAUAUUUAAAAAAAAGGAAAGUUUAAAGAAAUUUUUUUAAUCAAAAUAACCCGAAACCAAGUGAUUUAAUCAUGAAUAAUUAAUAAGAAUGAACUGGUGAUUGUGGCAAAACUCUCAGAAAAUUUGUGGUUAGGGGUGAAAAACUAAUCGAACUUGGAGAUAGCUGGUUUUUUGCGAAAACUAUUUAAGUAGUGUGCUUUUUUUUUAUUUUUUUUUGUAAUAAAAUAAAUAAUAAAAAAGAAAGAAGUAGACAAACAAAAAAUGAAAAGAUUUUUUGUUAAAAGAGAAAGCUCUAAUUAGAAGUUAAAGUUAUUUUUUUUUUUUAGUAUAAAAAACUUGUUAAUUUAGACGAUGAAAAAGUAGGCUUGGAGCCAGCCCUCUUUUAAAAAAUGCGUAAUAGUUUAUUUUAUAAAUUAAUUUUUUUUUUAAUUUCGGUGAUUAAAACAAAACUAAAACUCUAAAAAUAUAAAAUUAUUUAGUAGCAAAAUAUACUGUUUUUCAGUAGUAAUAAUUUUUACAUGAGUAAUCUAAUUUUUAAUUUUUUUUUCUUUUUAUUACCAUUUUUGGGUGAUACAGGCCUUAAGAAAAAUUUUUUAUGGGUGUUUUUAAGAAGAUGUUUUAUCUGGAAAAAAUAAAAAAGGGAACUGUUUUUUAACUAAAAAAAGAAAAAGAAAGAGAUUCAUUUUUUUAAGGAACUUGGCAAAAAAGAACUUUGACUGUUUACUAAAAACAUAGCUUUUUGAUUAAAUUAUAAAAGGUGAAACCUGCCCUAUGGUUGUAUCUAAAAAAAUUUGUUUUGCUUAUUAAUAAAGACAAUUAAAUGGCCGCGGUAACACUAACUGUGAAAAUGUAGCAUAAUAAAUUGUCAAUUAAUUGUUGACUGGUAUGAAUGGUAUCACGAAAGUUUUUCUGUCUUAAAAAAAUACUUAAUGAAAUUGAAUUUGUAGUGAAGAUGCUACAUUAUAAUUGUAAGACGAGAAGUCCCCAUGGAGCUUUACUGAAAACUUAAGAUUUUCUAUAAGUAGGACAGUUUUGUUGGGGCGACAGUUUUUUAAAAAGUAACGAAAAUGAACUAUGGUAGAAAGCUUCACUCUGAAAGAUUUUUUAAGAGACAUUUUUUAGUGUGUUUUAUGAUCCGUUGUUUGGAAUGAAAAAAAUAACGAAAACAAAUAAAAGUUACCCUGGGGAUAACAGCGCAAUAAUGUUUGAGAGUAAAUUAAUGACGGUGUUUGCGACCUCGAUGUUGAAUUGCAGCGUCCUAGGGAGUAGUCACUCCUAAGGGUUGGUUUGUUCAUCCAUUAAAGCUGUACAUGAUUUGAGUUAAAAGCGUGGUAACACAGCUUGGUUUCUAUCUACAAUUAUAAAACAAAGAUAUUUUGUUUUUUAGUACGAAAGGAUCAUAAAUCAAUAGUUCUCUAAAAAUAACUCUUCUUUAAAUUAAGAUUGCUUCUAAAAAAAAAAGAAAUAUUUUUUGUUUGUUUUUGUUUUUUAUUUUUAAAAAAUAAAAUAUAUGUAUUUUUUAAUUUUAUUU
rnacentral:rRNA from 1 species